CUCAGGUAGGAUCGGGAUCUGGGUCCGGGGAUUCGGGUCCUGGUCCCGCCGGUGUUUCCUGUGGGAGCCGGGCCGAGCCGCUUUUUCCUCGGCGGGCAGGGUACUGGGGUAGGUACCCGGGGUGCUGGGGCCGGAGGAUCGAGGCGGGAUUGGGGCUGGGAUCGGGACCGGCAUCACCGCGGGCGGGAAGAGCCGCUCCGGGACAGGCGCUGUCGCUCUGGCUGCGGCCGGCGCGGGGCUGGGUCCCGCCGGGGCUCCAGGCACGAUCCGGCUGCGGCGGCAGGGAGCCGGUGCUGUGCUGCUGCCGUGCCCGCCAGGAGAACGACGCUUCCCGGGAGCAGCCACUGGAUCGCGGCUGGAAGCGGGAAGGACACGGAGACCGCCCGUACCGGCCCCGAGAUCCCAUCAGCAUCGCCGCCCGCUCAGCGCCGCUGCCCAUCCCGGCCCGAGCUGUGAGGAUCAUCGAGUUAAAUGCUGAGGAGUGACCGGCCCAGCUGCGCAUUGAUCACAGAAUUUUGGCCUUGUCAGCACCCUGCUCCAAUCACCUGAGCCAAUCCCAAAUUGCUCCAAAGUCCUGUGUGGGAUGGGAAUGACUGCUGCCAGUAAGAGAGCUCCUCUACAAAUGCAGCUCCUUCCCUUCUGUGAAUGCUGCUUUACACACCAGCCCCUGCAAUGGCUCUAGGGCAGAACUGGCUGGCACUCACCUGUCAGCACCAAACUCUUCCCCAUGACCCUGAUUGUUCUGCCCUUUCCAGGAUUUACCCAGCAGAUGUAAAUGUGCUCACACAAUGUCCCUUUGUUUCCCCAGGAAGAAGUGAACCAGACAGCUCCUGAGGGUUCCUCUGGAGAGUGGCAGGGGGCGUUUCCUGCAGGUGAGCGUUGCCAGCUCAAAGUGACGGUGGCUGCUGGGGCCGGGGCUGUUUCUGGGCCCAGAGGCCUCGGUGUCUCCUGCUCGCUGCCAGCCGUGCUCCUUGGUGUUCCCUCAGGGUGUCCCAGCGGGCUGGGAGCGCAGGGCAGGAGGAGCCAGAAGCUCCUGAAGGCAGCAGCCCCUCGUGUCUGUGGGAUCUGCAGGAGGAGCUGUGCCUGCACCGUGGCUCCUGGGCCAGGGGCUGCUCUGAGCAGGCACGUGGAAAUGCCCCAGCCCACACAGAGCACCAAGAGCCCGGAAGGAGCACAAGGAGCAGCUGGCAUUACCUGGGAAUGGAGGCACAGGCUGUUUGCAGAGGGGCUCACGCAGCAAUUCCCGGUUCAGAGCUCCCACACAGCUGCCAGCUAUGUCCCAGCCACCCCAAAUCCCUUCCCUCCUGCCCAGCCUGAGGCCAUCAUCCAUCAGCAGCAUUACAGCCAAGGCAAUCUUCCCCCACAGAUACUGAAUCCCAGGCAGGAGCCCUCAGAGAUACCUGGAAAUCAGUGGGAUGGAGUUUGGAGUUUUUCAGGAUCCAGCUGCAAGUGCACAAGUGGUGGAAAGCUUUCACAGUUUUAAUCCCUCAGUGGGCAGCCUGUACAACUUAUCCUGGGAUUUAGAGGUUGAGCAGGGCUGGCUUUGGAUUGACCUUCACCUCUGGCCCCAGCCUGUGCAAACAGACCUUGUGCCAGGGUGCCCUGGUGACACCAUGUUGGUCCCUUUGCCCUUCUCCAGCCCGAGGCUGCUCCUCUGCUCGCUCUCUCCAGCCUCAUCCCACAGGGAUCCUCUUGUCCCUUCCCUGCUGGUGCUGCCAAGGAAGGAGGACACAAUUGCACCAGGUUUUCAGCUACAUGAAUGGCAUCAUCUGUGCCCACUGCUCGUUAUUCACCCAACCAAAAUCAAGAGCAAAUGUUGGCUGGGCUUUAAUAAGAACUUGAAAU